ACCAUCCUGACUUUACUCUCCUCCACAGACAGGACUUUAGCAAAGCCAAAAAGCAAUCCAGUGACUGAGCCUGAAGCACCCCCACCUCCAAAUCCCAGGACACCCAAAGCCCCCAGAGGAGCUAGUGUGAUGAAGUAUUUAAGAGCAUGAACUUUAAGAUUAAACAGACCCAAAUUUGAGGAUUUCAGGCAUGAGCCACCACACCCGGCUGUGUUUUCUUUAUUAGAUUGAACUGAUGAGGCAAAAGACAUCCUCC
rnacentral:lncRNA from 1 species